rnacentral:tRNA from 1 species
GUUAUUUUGGCAGAUUAGUGCAAUGGAUUUAGAAUCUAAAUAUAUAGGAAUAUCUAUAAAUAACA